UCCCUGGUGGCUCAGUGGUAAAGAAUCUGCCUGCCAAUGCAGGAGACACAGGUUCAAUCCCUGAUCCAGGAA
rnacentral:tRNA from 1 species